rnacentral:lncRNA from 1 species
AUGAAAAGAUUGCUUUACCAUUUCACUAUAAUACUAGCUAUAGUAAGAACAUCAACAAAUGCAGAAAUGCAGUGCACAUUUCAUUGUUCAAUCAUCCUUAAAGGUACAUGACAAAGUAUAUGACAUGCAUACCUACAUUAUUCACAGAGACAGGUAACUAUCAAAUGUGUAUGACUACAAAGGCACAAAGCUCUCAUGACAUCAAUCCGGAAGCUUUAUGUGCACCCUUAGAAGCAUAUGCCCAAAACUAAAACUAAAGCAGAUGCCUGUAUCUAUUCAUUUGAGCACAUAAAUUGGGUCGAUUUAAAGCUCAUUGCCAGCUAACAAUAGGCAAUUCUUCUUUAGAAUCAAGGCUGCCUUGAUCAAACAACUCAGGGGCAAGCUAGCUCAAACCAAAAUUGUGCUCUUCCUCUGCUUUUCAUGAUGAGCUGAUCCACCUUCCCUAGAAGAUAUGUUUCCCCUGAAAGAGUUGAAAACAAUUUAAUCUAUAUGAACAGAAAGUGACAAGUGUGGACAUACAAACCAAUAUUAAUUAUUAUGCAAAUCUCAAAAGACAGCAGACCAAAGCCAAAAGAAACAACUGCAUUAUAUAUGCAAAAGAAAAGCUACUCCAAAAGCAGCUUUAGCAAUACUUUAGCAAGUCAGCUAUGAUAGGACAUAAAUGCAUGAUAUUAGUGCAUUGUCAUAAGCAGAGAGCAAAUCUCUUUAAGCUGCCGAGCGUCAUUUAGAUUCACAAAAAACAAAGGGAAAAUUAAGCGUAACAUCAAACAUUUGCAUUGUAUUUACUAUUCGUAGCUAUACUUUCAGCAAAUUUGCCAUUUAUAGCUAUAUUUGAAUCUUAAAGCAAAUCCAUGAUAUAAGAAAUUAAUUGUUUUGAACUGAUACAAGAGAGCAACAAGCUUUCCUGGCUCAGUUGGUUAGAGCGCAUGUUUAGUAAGCGAAGGUCUUAAGUUCGACUCUCAACAAGAACAUUUUAUUUUUCUGUAUUUCUGUAUUUCGCUUUAGUUGUAUUCGUUGCGCGAACAAAUAAAAUCGAUACAAGUUGUAUCCAUUGUAUACACCCUUGUAUUUCGCAUUGGUUACAGUUGAUACAUAUUGCAUUCGUUGAACGAAUAAAUACAAUUGCGUAAAUGAAUACAAUUGAUACACGUUGUAUUUGUUGCCGAACGAAUACAGUUGACACAAGUUUUAUUCGUUGCACGUUUGAAAACAAGUGAUACAAGUUGGUAAAAACUGAAUAGUAGCUACACAUAGUAAUUAGGCAAAGUAUAGUUACUAGGCUCUAAAUUAUAAUGGUUUAUGAAAAUUCCUCAAAAACGAAUUCAACCCAAGGAACUAUUACAGAAAAUAAGUGAAGGCAAGAGGCCCAAUUUAAUUGAACCAAACCAUGUAUUAAAAAUUAGCCCUCACUCAAAGAAACGCUCAUCGGAAUUGACCAGGAUUCAUCAGCUAAAACUUUGUCAAACAAAGACCAAUUGAAUUCAGAAACCAAGUCCGAAAAUAUGUCCUCUCAUUUACAUGUUGGCACAAAAACAAAGAUAUCAAACCCAAUCAGGAAUAUGAUAUUGCAUAAUUCGGUUAAUGCAAUCUCUUUUUAGGAGAAUCCACAUAAACGGGUAUGUAACAGAAUUCAACAACACAGUGCUAUGACUGAAUCAGGAGGGAUCAUGUGCAGACCUACGAAUAAGACCCAAAUGCAUACAACAUUAAUUAUCAAACAGAUUAAGAAAUCCUUAUCACAAUAAAUGAAGGGCAAAAACCAACUAAAAACCCAUGCAUAAAUGGAUGACAUAGAUAAAGUCGGGCAGAUCCAGUGGUCAAAGUAAAUAUAAAUUGUAACAGUAAGAUUUUCAACCCUAUUAAGCUAAAUCCAGAGUCAAUUUAUCCAUACAUUACAGACAGAUCUACAAAUUACUAUACCCCAACAACAAUGCCACAAUGACAAGCUAGUUUGGGUCAGCUAUACAAAAUCCUCAUUAUCUAUUUCGCUGGUUGUGGACUCAUUUCAUAACUAAGAUUAUUUUUCCUAUCAAAUUCAUAACAAGCACCGUAUAAGAAAUUACCUCAGAAAUGCCUGAAUCUAUCCAACCACUUGAACUCUACGCUCAGAAAGAGUUCAUCUCAAGACAAUAAGUCCUCCUCUUCAACAACAUCCUCGCAGCCGUCCCAUAAGGCUCCUCAAAUGCGGCAGCUACCCAAUUCCCAUCCUCUUUCUUAGGCGGCUGCUCACAGGGCCUAAUCGCCACCAAAGUCGCCCCUUUGAGCACUGCUCCAUUAGGCAACUCUAAAUGCGGGGCAUACCAAAGGCGCAUAUUCAGCGCAGGCACCAAAGUCCUCUUCGAAGCCAACGAAGCUGAUAAAGGCUUCACCCUCAAUUCCUCCAGCUGUUCCCUAUUCAUACACAACACUCCUUGUCCAUCCCCAUCUGUCAAUACCAAACUGUCCAGUGUUUUGUGCUCUGCUAUUAUUGGCUGCAGCAGAUAAUGUCUCGCAGACGCUGCAAUUAGCGAACUAAUUGUCCACACUACGCGCAACUUCAAACCCCCGUUGGUGUAAAACGACUCCGGUAUGCUCCCGUUAUCCAUCUCUACAUUGCCUUCACCAACGUUGUUGUCAUUGUUAUUCUCAUUCUCCCACCCAUUUCUACACUGUUCAUCCUCGGUUCUAACACUAUUAUUGCUGUGGAUGACAGAGGAGGCUCCAAGGAUAACACAAUUAUCAAGAGUGGAUCCAAAAUCAGCUCUCCAUUUCAAUAACACACCAUCAUCUAUCCCCAGCUCACCACUAGGCAAUUCAAUUCUCAGAAACUUGAUCUCAUUGAAAUUCUUCAAAACUUGUGUAGGGGAAUGGUGGGUCACAAAUGUAUGAUCAAAAUCACCAUCAACAUCAUCCGCGGACGCAGAGGCUCC